UAAAAUGAGCAAACGGUAGUACAUAUAAAACGGUAGUUGAAAAUACACGGAGAGAUUAGCAGCCAAUAAAAACAACAGAAUCCGACCACAUACAUAGUACUUGAACAAAUCCAUGGCACACAGCUGGUUCCCACACCUCACUCUGUCCGGACGAUAGCACCACCACCAUGACCGCCGCCGCCGCCGCCACCACUACCACCACCACUCUUUGGCUUUGCCCUGCCCUACACCACCAACUCUCUUUAACUUUUGUCCUUAGGCCAGAAAGUCAGCAUGCGGUGUGGAAAAAGUAAGAAAUUGGGUGCCGCCGAAUCCGAUUACGGUGGAAACACGACGCCGUUUCGUCGAUUAUUGCGAUGGAAUCCUGCUAGAUUUAUCUCAUGUCUGCGUUGAUGAGCGAGGCAAGUUGCAGAGCUUGGGAUGCGAUAGGUAUAGCUCUGGUGUUAAUAAUUUUCUGGAUGAAAACAACGUCGUUUUUCUAUUACUGCAUAAAUUGGCUUUUAGUCGUAGUUGUGUUAUCCAUGCAAUGUCCAAAUUUGCUCAAACGUAAUUGAAUGAUUUCAUUCCGUUAUAAUUUUUAAUUAUACUAAUUUUGUUUGUAGCCCUAA